rnacentral:rRNA from 1 species
GAUGAACGCUGGCGGCGUGCCUAAUACAUGCAAGUCGAGCGAACAGACUAGGAGCUUGCUCCUCUGAAGUUAGCGGCGGACGGGUGAGUAACACGAGGCUAACCUACCUAUAAGACUGGGAUAACUUCGAGAAACCGGCGCUAAUACCGGAUAAUACAUUCAUCCGCAUGAUUCAAUAGUGAAAGACGGUUUUGCUGACACUUAUAGACGGACCCGCGCCGCAUUAUCUAGUUGGUAAGGUAACGGCUUACCAAGGCGACGAUGCGUAGCCGACCUGAGAUGGUGAUCGGGCCCACUGGAACUGGGCCUCCGCCCAGACUCCUGCGGGUGGCAGCAGUAGGGAACUUUCCGUCAUGGGCGAAAACUUGCCGGUGCAACGCCGCGUGAGUGAUGAAGGUCUCCGGAUCGUAAAACUCUCUUAUUAGGGAAGAACAAAUGUGUAAGUAACUAUGCACGUCUUGACGGUACCUAAUCAGAAAGCCACGGCUAACUACGUG